AAAAACUACAUCGAUUGACUUUCGUGGCCCGAAGUUCCGCAUUCCAUGGUGGCUCCGGCAAGUGCGUUUCUGUGGCAACAUUCUCAUCGCAGACUACAGGUGACGACGCCACCAAGCUCGUGAACCAUCCGUCGAGUAAUUAGCUACUGAUUCUACCUGACGCAGGAGACAACAUACGGAAGAUUAGAUCUUUAGAGCAAUGUCGCAAAGGUACGCAGCCCGCCGAUGAGACAGGAAUUGCCUUCCAGUCGCAUCAUACAGCCCUCAACCACACACAUACACACUUUCGUGUAGCCACGGUACGGCGGGAAGGUGACGGCAGGUUGUUUAUGUUUAUGGUUGUUGACGUUUAGGUCGCCAGACACAAACAUACUUACGCUUUUGGGACAAAUAUUGGAAAAGAUUACACCGCAGGAUAACGGUGUGUGCUGGGUUGUGUGGUUCGCUGUCAACCAGCAGGAUCGUCAGAAACAGGUAGACGACGUGGAAAGGGAAAUAGGUAAAGCUCUUGCACGACCUCGUGGCGACGCGUGCUGGCAUUGUGGGUUUUACUGUGGCAUUGGUGGGUUAUAAUGAGGCGCCGUACCGCAAACAACACCGCUAACGAAGCCCAAAAUGCUGUCGGAUCCGAUUUUCGCUCGCAGCCGGAAAGCACAUUUUUUGGAGAGUGGAUAAAUACCAUCAAGGAUGCUAGUAGAAUGUGAGAGUCCUGGCAUGGAAGAUAAACAGUUGGCGUCAAUAUUGGGUUGACAUCGAUCAUGAUGACGAACGAGGCGAAAGAAUGAGCGAGAGUCGGUGAGAGACAAAGCGACAGUGUAAAGGCAACUUCUAAAUAAGGUCAUUGGAGCAUUCGAUACGCAGUGAAACAAUGGUUAAUUAUUGAGCAUUUCCAUCUAUAUCAAUCACGGUAAUCGGAAGAUAGAAUAUCAAACUAUACACACAAAUACAAACGUUUUACCCACAACGACGUCAGCACUUAUUGAUAACCUUCAACCUACGGAACGCUUUGGCUUAAAGGUAGGAGUGAACGAACAGGACGUCUAAUGAACGAGCGUAAGGGACAUAAGCUCGAUGGCGGACUUUAUCUGGCAAAACAAUAGUAAAAAAAAGGUUUCGCUGUAAAACGUAGCCUAGGUUUUAUGUAAACCACUCGCUUUGACUGUUCCGGAAAUGUAAACCGUAUCAGGAGCCCCAUGCAUCUCAACCGAAACGACUUUGCGUAGUCGGUGUAUUGCCGUUCAAGACGCGGAAGCGCCAUACCCUGAGUGUGACCGGAUGAUGGAAGAGCGGAAAGGGAGAAGGAUUGUUUUGUGCUUCAGUGUGCGAAUGUGUUUUGUUUUCCGAAGGCAAAAAGAAUGUAUCGUUUCCUUGCUGUGGUCGAGACGUCGACUAGCUUUGUCGUGCGCAGAUAAGUGAAGGAUUUGGGAUCUAGCGAAUGAAGACAGGAAAUCUUCAGACAAUGCCCGACCGGGCAGCAAAAGCGAUGGGCGUACUGUUUUGUUUUUACCAUCACGAUUUCGCAGCCCGGAUGAAGAUGGCAGUGAA